AGGGAAUCUUCCACAAUGGACGCAAGUCUGAUGGAGCAACGCCGCGUGAGUGAAGAAGGUUUUCGGACCGUAAAGCUCUGUUGUUGGUGAAGAAGGAUAGAGGUAGUAACUGGCCUUUAUUUGACGGUAAUCAACCAGAAAGUCACGGCUAACUACGUGCCAGCAGCCGCGGUAAUACGUAGGUGGCAAGCGUUGUCCGGAUUUAUUGGGCGUAAAGCGAGCGCAGGCGGAAGAAUAAGUCUGAUGUGAAAGCCCUCGGCUUAACCGAGGAAUUGCAUCGGAAACUGUUUUCUUGAGUGCAGAAGAGGAGAGUAGAACUCCAUGUGUAGCGGUGGAAUGCGUAGAUAUAUGGAAGAAUACCAGUGGCGAAGGCGGCUCUCUGGUCUGCAACUGACGCUGAGGCUCGAAAGCAUGGGUAGCGAACAGGAUUAGAUACCCUGGUAGUCCAUGCCGUAAACGAUGAGUGCUAAGUGUUGGGAGGCUUCCGCCUCUCAGUGCUGCAGCUAACGCAUUAAGCACUCCGCCU
rnacentral:rRNA from 1 species